AUACGAAGGGGGCUAGCGUUGCUCGGAAUGACUGGGCGUAAAGGGCGUGUAGGCGGUUGAUACAGUCAGAUGUGAAAUCCCCGGGCUUAACCUGGGAGCUGCAUUUGGGACGUAUUGACUAGAGUGUGAGAGAGGGUUGUGGAAUUCCCAGUGUAGAGGUGAAAUUCGUAGAUAUUGGGAAGAACACCGGUGGCGAAGGCGGCAACCUGACUCAUUACUGACGCUGAGGCGCGAAAGCGUGGGGAGC
rnacentral:rRNA from 1 species